rnacentral:rRNA from 1 species
GACGAACGCUGGCGGCGUGCUUAACACAUGCAAGUCGAACGGACAGGCCUGCUUUCCCUUGUGGAUUGCGGGUCCUCGAGUGGCGAACGGGUGCGUAACACGUGAGUGAUCUGCCCCCAACUUGGGUAUAAGCCUGGGAAACUGGGUCUAAUUACCGAUAGGACCGCAUGGUGGUGUCUGUGGUGGCAAACGUUCUUCUAGUGGUUGGGGAUGAGCUCGCGGCCUAUCAGCUUGUUGGUGGGGUAAUGGCCUACCAAGGCGGCGACGGGUAGCCGGCCUGGGAGGGUGGACGGCCACAUUGGGACUGGGAUACGGCCCAGACUGCUACGGGAAGCAGCAGUGGGGAAGAUUGCACAAUGGGCGGAAGCCUGAUGCAGCGACGCCGCGUUGGGGAUGACGGCCUUCGGGUUGUAAACUCCUUGCGACCGCGAGGAGGCCACCUAAUUGGAAGGGUGGUGACGGUAGUGGUAGAAGAAGCACCGGCUAACUACGUG